UCCCUUCAGAACGUCACGGCGCCAGUGACCUCAGAACUCUCGUGGGCGAUUGAUAGGAUGUCACUAUUACUUUUCUCCAGUCACACUGGACUCAGCCUACACGCAUGACUACUGUACUAGAGGGGGGUUGUAUGUUCUGUGGCGUGUAUGGAGUCAGAGGUCACCUUGUGGAAGAAAUCACUCUCUCUUCUUACCAUGUGAGUUCUGGGAUCAAACUCAGUUUGUCCGGCUUGCAACAAGCACCUCUGCCUGCUGAGCAUCUCAUUGGCACUAGACACUGAGAGAAACAAUCAAUAAAUGGGACCUGUGAAGCAGAGGACACGGUCAACCAGACAAAAUGACAGCCCACAGCAUGGGAAAAGAUCUUCAUCAGCCUCACAGCAGACAGAUCUCCAAAAUAUACAAAGAACUCAAGAAACUGGCCAUCAAA